GUCCCUGGAGGUGGGAGCAGGUCCCGGGAGGCGGGCACAGCGCGGGGACUGCGGCUCACAACCCUGUGCUGCCUAAGUCGCGGCUGCGGAGCGAACUCCACAGCGGCCACCCCACGAGACACGUUUGCCACCACAGGAGGCGGUGGAUGGAGCGGCCACGCCCGUGGCGUCAUCAGGCCGCGACCUUAAACUGAGGCAGGGCUGCCAGCCACGGGUCUCUAACGCCGGGCCCCAGGAAGCGUCCCUUUUCCAUGGUGACGGUGGUCCCGGGGUCAUGGCGACGACGCCCCGCCAUUGUCGCUGGGUAAACACACGGUCGCUCAAUCGCUACUGGGUGCCCUGCGAGGCACCUAAGUUGCCGGGAAAUGCGAGCACCGCCAUUUAAGUCGCGAAGUGUCCGGUGGCGGGUCAACCGUGGGACCAUCAGACAAUGGAUUCUUCAGCUGAAAAGAAAUGAGCUAUCAAGCCAUGGAAAGACGAAGAGGAACACGAGAUGCCCGUGACUGAGGGACAGAAGCCAAUCUGAAAAGGCCCCACACGCAGCCCUCCAGCCCUCGACCUUCUGGCCUCAGGACCCACAUGCUUCCUCCUGUCCCGACAGCCUGCCUCCACUCUGUCCUCUGCAAUCGGCUCUGCUGCCCAGUGUGUUCUGCAUCCUCCGGGGCUGUCCUGCUCCUGCUGAGGUCCGGAGGGCUCCACUCACCAGUCCCUGCAUUCAUGCUGCUCAGUGGGCUCCCAGAAGCACCAUCCACCACCUGCCAAGCACCUGCCGAGCCAGGCCUGGGGCUCAGUGUGCCCUCCUCCCUGCCUCUUCCUCACACCCCCUCCCGAAACAGCACCCCUUGCGUUCCACCCGCAGCACCUCCCGCUCCCGCUGGCUCACAUCUGUAGGGUUACUAGCUAGGAGUGGCCCAGGCAUUUAAAAUGCGACCUCCCCAAUUCCACACUCGUCUCCUCACCCCCAACCACCUCCCUCUCUCCUCCCAGCAGCCACGAGGAUGUGACUUUCAUUCAAAAGUCACAUGUCCAAGCUAAAGAAAAAUCACGUGAUCAUAUCAAUCGGUGCAGAAAAAGCAUUUGACAUAAUUCAAUAAAAUGCAAAGUUCAAGGUAAAAACACCCAGCAAACUAGGAAGAGGGUAGGGGGGACAUUUUAGACCUGAUAAAAGGCAUCUGCAGAAACCCUGCGCGAAUGCCACGCUUAGGAGGAGAAACGAGAUGCUUCCUCCGGCCAUCAUGGCUCCUCCCUCCACCCCUUUCCCAGGUCAGGCUGGGAGUCGUGGCUAAUGCACUGUGACCAGUAGAAGGAAUAAAAGGUAUAUAGCGGCGUGAUUGUCUAUGCAGAACAUCUUAUUUCCCUGCUCAGAACCCUACAUCAAAUUUUAUUGUGUCCAGCAGACAAUAGGAUGGUGAAGG